UGCCCAGCAACUCCUAUCCCUACCUCCUCGCGGUACUGGCCGGGGUACGAGUAACCUAACCCGUAACGUGGGUAGA
rnacentral:ribozyme from 1 species